rnacentral:rRNA from 1 species
UGCCAGACUCCUACGGGAGGCAGCAGUGGGGAAUAUUGCGCAAUGGGGGAAACCCUGAUGCAGCGACGCCGCGUGAAGGAUGAAGUAUUUCGGUAUGUAAACUUCUAUCAGCAGGGAAGAAAAUGACGGUACCUGACUAAGAAGCCCCGGCUAACUACGUGCCAGCAGCCGCGGUAAUACGUAGGUGGCAAGCGUUGUCCGGAUUUACUGGGUGUAAAGGGCAUGUAGCCGGGCUGACAAGUCAGAUGUGAAAUCCGGGGGCUCAACCCCCGAACUGCAUUUGAAACUGUUGGUCUUGAGUAUCGGAGAGGCAGGCGGAAUUCCUAGUGUAGCGGUGAAAUGCGUAGAUAUUAGGAGGAACACCAGUGGCGAAGGCGGCCUGCUGGACGACAACUGACGGUGAGGCGCGAAAGCGUGGGGAGCAAACAGGAUUAGAUACCCCAGUA